rnacentral:rRNA from 1 species
ACUCCUACGGGAGGCAGCAGUGGGGAAUUUUGGACAAUGGGCGAAAGCCUGAUCCAGCAAUGCCGCGUGAGUGAAGAAGGCCUUCGGGUUGUAAAGCUCUUUUGUCAGGGAAGAAACGGUGAGAGCUAAUAUCUUUUGCUAAUGACGGUACCUGAAGAAUAAGCACCGGCUAACUACGUGCCAGCAGCCGCGGUAAUACGUAGGGUGCAAGCGUUAAUCGGAAUUACUGGGCGUAAAGCGUGCGCAGGCGGUUUUGUAAGUCUGAUGUGAAAUCCCCGGGCUCAACCUGGGAAUUGCAUUGGAGACUGCAAGGCUAGAAUCUGGCAGAGGGGGGUAGAAUUCCACGUGUAGCAGUGAAAUGCGUAGAUAUGUGGAGGAACACCGAUGGCGAAGGCAGCCCCCUGGGUCAAGAUUGACGCUCAUGCACGAAAGCGUGGGGAGCAAACAGGAUUAGAAACCCUAGUAGUCCCAUGA